rnacentral:rRNA from 1 species
CAAGUCGAGCGGUGUAGCAAUACACAGUGGCGAACGGGUGAGUAAUGAAUCGCUAAUGUGCCCCGGACUCUGGGAUAGCUGCCCGAAAGGGCAGGUAAUACCAGAUGAUAUAACUUUGUCGCAUGACAGAGUUCUCAAAGGUCCGCCGGUCUGGGAGCAGGCGAUUUCGUAUCAGCUUGUUGGUGAGGUAACGGCUCACCAAGGCGACGACGCGUAGCCGGACUGAGAGGUUGGCCGGCCACAUUGGGACUGAGACACUGCCCAGACUCCUACGGGGGGCUGCAGUAACGAAUCUUCCGCAAUGCACGAAAGUGUGACGGAGCGACGCCGCGUGUAGGACGAAGCCCUUCGGGGUGUAAACUACUGUCAGGGGUUAGAAAGUUCUGAUCAACCCCAGAGGAAGGCACGGCUAACUCUGUGCCAGCAGCCGCGGUAAGACAGAGGUGCCAAGCGUUAGGCGGAAUCACUGGGCUUAAAGCGUGUGUAGGUGGAUCGUUAAGUGCCUUGUGAAAUCCCACGGCUCAACCGUGGAACUGCUUGGCAUACUGGCGGUCUUGAGCCAUUCAGGGGCUACUGGAACAAACGGUGGAGCGGUGAAAUGCGUAGAUAUCGUUUGGAACGCCAAAGGUGAAAACAGGUAGCUGGGGAUGUGCUGACACUGAGACACGAAAGCCAGGGGAGCAAACGGGAUUAGAUACCCCGGUAGUCCUGGCCCUAAACGAUGUCCACUAGAUCGUGGUGGCUCUGACGUUAUCACGGUCGAAGCAAAAGUGCUAAGUGGACCGCCUGGGAAGUACGGUCGCAAGGCUAAAACUCAAAGGAAUUGACGGGGGCUCACACAAGCGGUGGAGCAUGUGGUUUAAUUCGAAGCAACGCGCAGAACCUUACCUGGGUUUGACAUGACAGGAUUAUCCCUGUGAAAGCAGGGUAUGCCCUUCGGGGUACAACUGUUACAGGUGCUGCAUGGCUGUCGUCAGCUCGUGUCGUGAGAUGUCGGGUUAAGUCCCAUAACGAGCGAAACCUUUGCCCUUAGUUACCAGCGGGUUAUGCCGGGGACUCUAAGGGGACUGCCGGUGUCAAACCGGAGGAAGGUGGAGAUGACGUCAAGUCCUCAUGGCCUUUAUGCCCAGGGCUACACACGUGCUACAAUGGGACGGACAAAGCGAACCUAGAACGCGAGUUCAUGGAAAACGCAAAAAUCGUCCCCCAGUUCAGAUCGGAGGCUGCAACUCGCCUCCGUGAAGUUGGAAUCGCUAGUAAUCGCGGAUCAGCUACGCCGCGGUGAAUA